AAAAAGAGGAGUGGCGAACGGGUGAGUAACACGUGGGUAACCUGCCCAUCAGAAGGGGAUAACACUUGGAAACAGGUGCUAAUACCGUAUAACAAUCGAAACCGCAUGGUUUUGAUUUGAAAGGCGCUUUCGGGUGUCGCUGAUGGAUGGACCCGCGGUGCAUUAGCUAGUUGGUGAGGUAACGGCUCACCAAGGCCACGAUGCAUAGCCGACCUGAGAGGGUGAUCGGCCACAUUGGGACUGAGACACGGCCCAAACUCCUACGGGAGGCAGCAGUAGGGAAUCUUCGGCAAUGGACGAAAGUCUGACCGAGCAACGCCGCGUGGGUGAAGAAGGUUUUCGGAUCGUAAAACUCUGUUGUUAGAGAAGAACAAGGAUGAGAGUAACUGUUCAUCCCUUGACGGUAUCUAACCAGAAAGCCACGGCUAACUACGUGCCAGCAGCCGCGGUAAUACGUAGGUGGCAAGCGUUGUCCGGAUUUAUUGGGCGUAAAGCGAGCGCAAGCGGUUUCUUAAGUCUGAUGUGAAAGCCCCCGGCUCAACCGGGGAGGGUCAUUGGAAACUGGGAGACUUGAGUGCAGAAGAGGAGAGUGGAAU
rnacentral:rRNA from 1 species